rnacentral:rRNA from 1 species
GAUGAACGCUGGCGGCGUGCCUAAUACAUGCAAGUCGAGCGAACGGACGAGAAGCUUGCUUCUCUGAUGUUAGCGGCGGACGGGUGAGUAACACGUGGAUAACCUACCUAUAAGACUGGGAUAACUUCGGGAAACCGGAGCUAAUACCGGAUAAUAUUUUGAACCGCAUGGUUCAAAAGUGAAAGACGGUCUUGCUGUCACUUAUGGAUGGAUCCGCGUUGCAUUAGUUAGUUGGUAAGGUAACGGCUUACCAAGGCAACGAUGCAUAGCCGACCUGAGAGGGUGAUCGGCCACACUGGAACUGAGACACGGUCCAGACUCCUACGGGAGGCAGCAGUAGGGAAUCUUCCGCAAUGGGCGAAAGCCUGACGGAGCAACGCCGCGUGAGUGAUGAAGGUCUUCGGAUCGUAAAACUCUGUUAUUAGGGAAGAACAUAUGUGUAAGUAACUGUGCACAUCUUGACGGUACCUAAUCAGAAAGCCACGGCUAACUACGUG